AUUGAACGCUGGCGGCAGGCCUAACACAUGCAAGUCGAGCGGAUGACGGGAGCUUGCUCCUUGAUUCAGCGGCGGACGGGUGAGUAAUGCCUAGGAAUCUGCCUGGUAGUGGGGGACAACGUUUCGAAAGGAACGCUAAUACCGCAUACGUCCUACGGGAGAAAGCAGGGGACCUUCGGGCCUUGCGCUAUCAGAUGAGCCUAGGUCGGAUUAGCUAGUUGGGGGGGUAAUGGCUCACCAAGGCGACGAUCCGUAACUGGUCUGAGAGGAUGAUCAGUCACACUGGAACUGGGACACGGUCCAGACUCCUACGGGAGGCAGCAGUGGGGAAUAUUGGACAAUGGGCGAAAGCCUGAUCCAGCCAUGCCGCGUGUGUGAAGAAGGUCUUCGGAUUGUAAAGCACUUUAAGUUGGGAGGAAGGGCAGUAAGCUAAUACCUUGCUGUUUUGACGUUACCGACAGAAUAAGCACCGGUUAACUCUGUGCCAGCAGCCGCCGUAA
rnacentral:rRNA from 1 species